GGUUAGCUAUCGAACCAAAAGUUAGCCCACGCAAAUCAAUUCUUUUACUGAAUUUUGUUAAUUUUGGUAACAGUUAUCGACAAAACAGUCAAAUUACAGUACACGAAUUGAACUAUCAAAAUCCGAGAAUGGGUUAUUGGUGGAUGAUAGCUGUGCAACAUGUUCCACCACUGGACGAAGUUGCUGAUAUUCUUAGAAAAGCACCGUUUCUGGGACUGUUUGCAUUUAUUUAUCAAAAAAGCAUGAUUUGAUCUUGGAU
rnacentral:lncRNA from 1 species